rnacentral:rRNA from 1 species
GAUGAACGCUGGCGGCGUGCCUAAUACAUGCAAGUCGAGCGAACAGACGAGGAGCUUGCUCCUCUGACGUUAGCGGCGGGCGGGUGAGUAACACGUGGAUAACCUACCUAUAAGACUGGGAUAACUUCGGGAAACCGGAGCUAAUACCGGAUAAUAUAUUGAACCGCAUGGUUCAAUAGUGAAAGACGGUUUUGCUGUCACUUAUAGAUGGAUCCGCGCCGCAUUAGCUAGUUGGUAAGGUAACGGCUUACCAAGGCAACGAUGCGUAGCCGACCUGAGAGGGUGAUCGGCCACACUGGAACUGAGACACGGUCCAGACUCCUACGGGAGGCAGCAGUAGGGAAUCUUCCGCAAUGGGCGAAAGCCUGACGGAGCAACGCCGCGUGAGUGAUGAAGGCCUUCGGAUCGUAAAACUCUGUUAUUAGGGAAGAACAAAUGUGUAAGUAACUAUGCACGUCUUGACGGUACCUAAUCAGAAAGCCACGGCUAACUACGUG